rnacentral:misc_RNA from 1 species
CUUAAAUAUUGUACUUGUCCCUGACCCAUAAGAACCAACUAAAAGAAUCUUCUGGAGUGUUUUCUUCUCAAGGUACUCAGGCAUAACUCUGUUAAUAGUGUUGGGUACAUCUUCUCCAGAAGGAUUAGUUGCUUUUGAAGGAACUGGAAGUGACAGAAAAGAGCAUAGCAGCUUUGUAGUAGGCUUCUCCCAUAACUUCCCUUUUAUGUUUUUUUGUCCCUCCUCCUGGUAUGUCCCAUCAGCGUUCACCCAAAAGUGAGGUUUUCCAGCACAUUGAACCCCUGCCCACUGAAGCAUCCGCAACUCUGAUUUUGUUAUCUCACGGUCAUUUAUUAAGAUCCCAGUGUCCCCUUUGCUUGCAUGUCGCAUGAUGCCGGCCCCAACAUUUAGAUGAGGACUAAUGAUCUGGUGUGGUUUUUGUCCUUCCUUGCCCCAAAAGCCUGCAACCUUGUCGUACCAAUAAUACCCCGG